rnacentral:rRNA from 1 species
CAGAGGGUGCAAGCGUUGUUCGGAAUUACUGGGCGUAAAGCGCGCGCAGGCGGAAGUGCAAGUCUCGAGUGAAAUCCCGCCGCUCAACGGCGGGGCUGCUUAGGAUACUGCACCUCUAGGGACCGGUAGAGGCUGGUAGAAUUGCAGGUGUAGCGGUGGAAUGCGUAGAGAUCUGCAAGAAUACCCGUGGCGAAGGCGGCCAGCUGGGCCGGAUCCGACGCUGAGGCGCGAAAGCGUGGGGAGCAAACAGGAUUAGAUACCCUGGUAGUCCACGCCGUAAACGAUGGGCACUAGGUGCCGGGGGGAGCGACCCCGUCGGUGCCGCAGCUAACGCGAUAAGUGCCCCGCCUGGGGAGUACGGCCGCAAGGCUG